AGUGAACGCUGGCGGCGUGCCUAAUACAUGCAAGUCGAGCGAGCGGCGGACGGGUGAGUAAUGUCUGGGAAACUGCCUGAUGGAGGGGGAUAACUACUGGAAACGGUAGCUAAUACCGCAUACCAUCAGAUGUGCCCAGAUGGGAUUAGCUAGUAGGUGGGGUAACGGCUCACCUAGGCGACGAUCCCUAGCUGGUCUGAGAGGAUGACCAGCCAACCUGGAACUGGUGCAGGGCCCAGAGUCGUACGGGAGACAACAGUGGGAAAUAUUGCACAAGGGGUGAAAGCCUGUUGCAGCCAUGCCGCGGGUAGGAGGAAGGCCUGCGGGUUUUAAAGUACUUUCAGCGGGGAGAGGUGACCGGCAGAAGAAGAACCGGCUAACUCCGUGCCAGCAGCCGCGGAAAUG
rnacentral:rRNA from 1 species